GAACUCGGAAUGGAUCCUUCUCCCCGUUGUAACCGGUCUCCCCGCAAACUUUGCAAGUUGUACUGAAAGGGAGGGAGGAGGAGGUAGCUCUACACGUGUCUCACCUUGUGGAGACACUAUAGAUGGCUCCGUAGCUUCUCUUUCCGCAAGUUGGAUCCGUGAGACCCUCCCGGAUCGCUUGGCUACGGCUCUUUUGGGUCCCAUU
rnacentral:lncRNA from 1 species